rnacentral:rRNA from 1 species
UACGAAGGGGGCUAGCGUUGUUCGGAAUUACUGGGCGUAAAGCGCGUGUAGGCGGGUCCUUAAGUCAGGGGUGAAAUGCCAAGGCUCAACCUUGGAACUGCCUUUGAUACUGAGGAUCUUGAGUUCGGGAGAGGUGAGUGGAACUGCGAGUGUAGAGGUGAAAUUCGUAGAUAUUCGCAAGAACACCAGUGGCGAAGGCGGCUCACUGGCCCGAUACUGACGCUGAGGCACGAAAGCGUGGGGAGCAAACAGG